GUUAGGGCUGAGGGGCUUGUCCCAGACUCCCCAUGUCCCCUCAACUCCUUAGAGGAGGGUGCAGAGGGGGUACCCCACCCCGACUUCUGACACCCACCACCCCAGCGACCUGCUCUUUCCCGCUUGGUGACCCAGCUCCAGCCCCAGCCUCAGGAGAGACCCCCAGCUGGGGCAGGAUAGAGAUGGGGCUGCAGAGCUUCCUACCUGCCUGGUGGGGAGGCAGCAGAAGGAUCUGGACAGGGUUGUCUGACACUCAGACAAAAUAACAAACCAGCUCAGCGCACCUCAUCACCUCAGGGUGGCCCUUGGCAGCAGCCAUGUGCAGGACUGUCCUAGACUUAGGCUGGGCUGGUCACCCGCAAGGUGUCCCCCAGCCAUCCCCGGGGCAGCCUUGCUGGGAAAACUUAGAGUGAAGGAGUGAAGGGCGUGAGCCCUGGCCAGACUGCCUGGGUUGGAAUCCUGGCUCUGCCAUAGAUCUGCCGUGAGUCCCAGCCAGCCACUUUCCUCUCCAGGCCUCAGUUUCCUCAUCUGUCAAAUGGGAAUGGUAUGGUGCACAGCUGUAUGAGGGGUCGUGUGUGACAUGUGGAUUGUGCUGUCAAGAGCUCGGGAGUACAUGCCACGGGAAGCACUAGAGCCACGCCAGCGUUCAGUGAUCUCUGUGGGGUGACAGGAAGCUCCCGAGGCCAGGCCUAGGGCUUCUGGUGUGUGGGCAGCAGAGUGGAGACAGCUUCCUUUUUUGAAAGGUUGGCAGGAGCAAGGUGGAGGCUGACGGAUGUAGGAGAAGAAGGUCUCACACAGUCUGGGGGGCAAGUGUGGGUGCCCUAAGGUGCCCAGGGAGGGGAGUGUAAGGCAGGGCAAACCCGGGAGGACCAUGAGUGCCAGGCGAGGAGCAGGGUGACUUUUGCCCUGAGGGUGAUACGGCCAAGGGGGGUUUAAUGGGUGGGGCGGGAUCAGCUUAGGUGGUCCAGAUAUGAGGGGAGCCCAGCCUGGGAGCAUCUGGGGACAGUUUCUAGAAGACGUGAGUACUACAGCACUAAGAGUUUGCUAGAAGGGCAGGAAUGAAGGGCCCUCCCAGUACUCCUGGGCACCACAUGCAGAGGCCCGAAGGUGUGAAGACGGUGGUGAACUGUGUGGGGAAGGUGUGAAGACAGUGGUGAACUGUGUGGGGAAGAUGUGAAGACGGCGGUGAACUGUGUAGGGAAGGUGUGAAGACGGUGGUGAACUGUGUGGGGAAGGUGUGAAGACGGUGGUGAACUGUGUGGGGAAGGUGUGAAGACGGUGGUGAACUGUGUGGGGAAGGUGUGAAGACGGUGAACUGUGUGGGGAAGGUGUGAAGACGGUGGUGAACUGUGUGGGGAAGGUGUAAAGACGGUGGCGAACUGUGUGGGGAAGGUGUGAAGAUGGUGUUGAACUGUGUGGGGAAGGUGUGAAGACGGUGGUGAACUGUAUAGGGAAGGUGUGAAGACAGUGGUGAACUGUGUGGGGGUGUGAAGACGGUGGUGAACUGUAUAGGGAAGGUGUGAAGACGGUGGUGAACUGUGUGGGGAAGGUGUGAAGACGGUGGUGAACUGUGUGGGGAAGGUGUGAAGAUGGCGAACUGUGUGGGGAAGGUGUGAAGAUGGUGGCGAACUGUGUGGGGCAGGUGUGAAGAUGGUGGUGAACUGUGGGGAAGGUGUGAAGACGGUGGUGAACUGUGUGGGGAAGGUGUGAAGACGGUGGCGAACUGUGUGGGGAAGGUGUGAAGAUGGUGUUGAACUGUGUGGGGAAGGUGUGAAGACGGUGGUGAACUGUAUAGGGAAGGUGUGAAGACAGUGGUGAACUGUGUGGGGGUGUGAAGACGGUGGUGAACUGUAUAGGGAAGGUGUGAAGACGGUGGUGAACUGUGUGGGGAAGGUGUGAAGACAGUGGUGAACUGUGGGGAAGGUGUGAAGACGGCAGUGAACUGUGUGGGGAAGGUGUGAAGAUGGCGGUGAACUGUGUGGGGAAGGUGUGAAGACGGCGGUGAACUGUGUGGGGAAGGUGUGAAGACGGCGGUGAACUGUGUGGGGAAGGUGUGAAGACGGCAGUGAACUGUGUGGGGAAGGUGUGAAGACGGCGGUGAACUGUGUGGGGAAGGUGUGAAGACGGCGGUGAACUGUGUGGGGAAGGUGUGAAGACGGCGGUGAACUGUGUGGGGAAGGUGUGAAGACGGUGAACUGUGUGGGGAAGGUGUGAAGACGGUGGUGAACUGUGUGGGGAAGGUGUGAAGACGGUGGUGAACUGUGUGGGGGUGUGAAGACGGUGGUGAACUGUGGGGAAGGUGUGAAGACGGUGGUGAACUGUGUGGGGAAGGAGGAGGCGAGUGCCAGCGGCAGAAGCCGGGGCAGCUGAGGGCCUACCAGUGCCCUGGGUGUGCUGAGGGGUCGGGAUGAGGUCUGAGCAGGUCGCCCCUGGGAGCUAGAAGGACCCCUCUGGGGAUGAGACUGGAGGCUUCUCAUGGGUGGGGGCCGUGAGGACAAGAGGGCAGUGCCUGCAUGUGGCAGCUGCAGGCGCCUGCUGGACACAGGGCAUCUCCUCUCUCUGAGGUGUGCCACCAUCUGUAGGAAAACCAGCAAGCGCUUCCACGAGCCCUCUGUGCCCGCCUGGGCACUGAGCUCCUGACAGCUGUUCAUGGUGGUGUUGCUGUGGGGGACGUGUGCUCCACCCCUCCCCUGCAGCCUCCUUCCC